AUUGCUUCUUGGCCUUUUGGCAAAGAUCAAGUGUAGCAUCCAUUUUGAAUUUAUUUUUGUGUAUGGUGUAAGAGGGUGGUGGUUCAGGUUCAUUCUUCUGCAUGUCACCGUCCAAUUGUCUCAAGACCGAAAGAGACUGUUUUUAUUCCCUUGGAUAUUCUUUCCUGCUUUGUCAAAGAGGAGUUGGCCAUACGUUUC
ensembl:snRNA U2 U2 spliceosomal RNA